GGUACCCUACCGUGUGCGUGAUGUCACAACGCGUUCUGAGCCAACACCUAUACAAAAGGGGUCCUUAAUACGCAGAGGGGCUGCGAUAGCGCAAGCAAGGCAAAACCUCUCGAUAGGCACCCCACCUGCGAGAGUAGGUUCAAAACAGGAGACACACGGCAUGGUAGGGACGA
rnacentral:other from 1 species